AACGAACGCUGGCGGCAUGCCUAACACAUGCAAGUCGAACGAGACCUUCGGGUCUAGUGGCGCACGGGUGCGUAACGCGGGGGAACCUGCCCUUAGGUUCGGAAUAACUCCCCGAAAGGGGUGCUAAUACCGGAUAAUGUCUUCGGACCAAAGAUUUAUCGCCUUUGGGUGGGCCCGCGUUGGUUUAGCUGGUUGGUAGGGUAAAAGCCUACCAAGGCGACGAUCCAUAGCUGGUCUGAGAGGAUGCUCAGCCACACUGGGACUGCGACACGGCCCAGACUCCUACGGGAGGCAGCAGUGGGGAGUAUUGGACACUGGGCGAAAGCCUGGUCCAGCAAUGCCGCGUGAGUGAUGAAGGCCUUAGGGUUGUAAAGCUCUUUUACCCGGGAUGAUAAUGACAGUACCGGGUGAAUAAGCUCCGGCUAACUCCGUG
rnacentral:rRNA from 1 species